rnacentral:rRNA from 1 species
UCCGGGAUAACCCCGGGAACCUGGGGAUAAUACCGGAUAGAUCAUCUGUGCUGGAAGGCUGGGUGGUUGAAACUUCCGGGGCUUUUGGAUGGGUCUGCGGCUGAUUAGGUUGUUGCCGGUGUAACGUACCGUCAAGCCUGUAAUCAGUACGGGUUGUGGGAGCAAGAGCCCGGAGAUGGAUUCUGAGACACGAAUCCAGGCCCUACGGGGCGCAGCAGGCGCGAAAACUCUACAAUGCAGGCAACUGCGAUAGGGGAACAUCGAGUGAUCCUCAUAUUGGGGGUCUGUCCACCCGUCUAAAAAACGGGUGUUAGCAAGGGCCGGGCAAGACCGGUGCCAGCCGCCGCGGUAAUACCGGCGGCUCGAGUGGUGGCCGAUAUUAUUGAGUCUAAAGGGUCCGUAGCCGGCUUUGCAAGUCUCUCGGGAAAUCCAGCGGCUUAACCGUUGGUCGUCCGGGGGGUACUACAUUGCUUGGGACUGGGAGAGGUAGGAGGUACUCAGGGGGUAGGAGUGAAAUCCUGUAAUCCUUUGGGGACCACCGGUGGCGAAGGCGUCCUACCAGAACAGGUCCGACGGUGAGGGACGAAAGCUAGGGGCACGAACCGGAUUAGAUACCCGGGUAGUCCUAGCCGUAAACGAUGCUCGCUAGGUGUCACAACAGUCGUGAACUGUUGUGGUGCCGUAGGGAAGCCGUGAAGCGAGCCACCUGGAAGUACGCUCGCAAGGCUGAAACUUAAC